GCCCAGGUGGUGAAAUUGGUAGACACGCCACUUUGAGGGGGUGGUGCUCGCAAGGGCAUGUCAGUUCGAGUCUGAUCCUGGGCA
rnacentral:tRNA from 1 species